CCUACGUGCGUUUCCCCAAGAUCUUCGGUUUCCUUUCACACUCCAAAGACAUACAGAGUGGCAAACAGAAAUUGGAGGAGGUGCAGAGGUGUCGUCUGUUUACAAGACGGUUUCCAGACUGGAAUUGACGUUCAUCAAACCAAUUGCAUCAAAAUUGCAGUCCUGCGUUAUUACUUGAAAACAAAAUGGGAUUGGAUGCAAAAACAAAAAGAAUAUGGAAAGAAUUUCAAGUGGAGGGUCCCCGGUGGAUGAUGCAAUCAACAGAAUACAUUGUGGAACUGCGCUCAAUUGCUGAUGCAAUUGUCGAUUAUCAUACAGAUGCCGCUGUCGCAAUAGACGCAGGCACUGUCACACUAGUCAUGGGGGGAGUCGCAAGCGUCGCAGGAAUAGUUGCUGCUCCUUUCACAUUCGGAACCUCGCUAAUGGUCACCGGGGUGGGUAUUUGGAUGGCCAAGGCCGGUCAUGGCACUAACGACUUAUCCAAUUCUGCUAAUAUUGCAAACCAAAAAAAAAAACAGGAAAAAGUGAAUGAAAUUGUGGAACAAUACCUAAAAAUGACCGAACACCUGACAGGUAUAUUAACUCAGCUCAAC